GAUGAACGCUGGCGGCGUGCUUAACACAUGCAAGUUGAACGAAGCACUUUAUUUGAUUUCCUUCGGGACUGAUUAUUUUGUGACUGAGUGGCGGACGGGUGAGUAACGCGUGGGUAACCUGCCUUGUACAGGGGGAUAACAGUUGGAAACGGCUGCUAAUACCGCAUAAGCGCACGGCAUCGCAUGAUGCAGUGUGAAAAACUCCGGUGGUAUAAGAUGGACCCGCGUUGGAUUAGCUAGUUGGUGAGGUAACGGCCCACCAAGGCGACGAUCCAUAGCCGACCUGAGAGGGUGACCGGCCACAUUGGGACUGAGACACGGCCCAAACUCCUACGGGAGGCAGCAGUGGGGAAUAUUGCACAAUGGGCGAAAGCCUGAUGCAGCGACGCCGCGUGAGCGAAGAAGUAUUUCGGUAUGUAAAGCUCUAUCAGCAGGGAAGAUAAUGACGGUAC
rnacentral:rRNA from 1 species